AUUGAACGCUGGCGGCAGGCCUAACACAUGCAAGUCGAACGAGUGGCGGACGGGUGAGUAAUGUCUGGGAAACUGCCUGAUGGAGGGGGAUAACUACUGGAAACGGUCGCUAAUACCGCAUACCAUCGGAUGUGCCCAGAUGGGAUUAGCUAGUAGGUGGGGUAAAGGCUCACCUAGGCGACGAUCCCUAGCUGGUCUGAGAGUAGGACCAGCCACACUGGAACGGAGACACGGUCCAGACUCCUACGGGAGGCAGCAGUGGGGAAUAUUGCACAAUGGGCGCAAGCCUGAUGCAGCCAUGCCGCGUGUAUGAAGCAGGCCUUCGGGUUGUAAAGGACUUUCAGCGGGGAGGCGUUACCCGCAGAAGAAGCACCGGCUAACUCCGUGCCAGCCGCCGCGGUAAUUC
rnacentral:rRNA from 1 species